rnacentral:rRNA from 1 species
AGAUGCUCGUCGAGCGGUAGCACAGAGAGCUUGCUCUCGGGAUGACUAGCGGCGGACGGGUGAGUAAUGUCUGGGAAACUGCCUGAUGGAGGGGGAUAACUACUGGAAACGGUAGCUAAUACCGCAUAAUGUCGCAAGACCAAAGUGGGGGACCUUCGGGCCUCAUGCCAUCAGAUGUGCCCAGAUGGGAUUAGCUAGUAGGUGGGGUAAUGGCUCACCUAGGCGACGAUCCCUAGCUGGUCUGAGAGGAUGACCAGCCACACUGGAACUGAGACACGGUCCAGACUCCUACGGGAGGCAGCAGUGGGGAAUAUUGCACAAUGGGCGCAAGCCUGAUGCAGCCAUGCCGCGUGUGUGAAGAAGGCCUUCGGGUUGUAAAGCACUUUCAGCGGGGAGGAAGGCGUUAAGGUUAAUAACCUUGUCGAUUGACGUUACCCGCAGAAGAAGCACCGGCUAACUCCGUGCCAGCAGCCGCGGUAAUACGGAGGGUGCAAGCGUUAAUCGGAAUUACUGGGCGUAAAGCGCACGCAGGCGGUCUGUCAAGUCGGAUGUGAAAUCCCCGGGCUCAACCUGGGAACUGCAUUCGAAACUGGCAGGCUAGAGUCUUGUAGAGGGGGGUAGAAUUCCAGGUGUAGCGGUGAAAUGCGUAGAGAUCUGGAGGAAUACCGGUGGCGAAGGCGGCCCCCCUGGACAAAGACUGACGCUCAGGUGCGAAAGCGUGGGGAGCAAACAGGAUUAGAUACCCUGGUAGUCCACGCCGUAAACGAUGUCGAUUUGGAGGUUGUGCCCUUGAGGCGUGGCUUCCGGAGCUAACGCGUUAAAUCGACCGCCUGGGGAGUACGGCCGCAAGGUUAAAACUCAAAUGAAUUGACGGGGGCCCGCACAAGCGGUGGAGCAUGUGGUUUAAUUCGAUGCAACGCGAAGAACCUUACCUGGUCUUGACAUCCACAGAACUUUCCAGAGAUGGAUUGGUGCCUUCGGGAACUGUGAGACAGGUGCUGCAUGGCUGUCGUCAGCUCGUGUUGUGAAAUGUUGGGUUAAGUCCCGCAACGAGCGCAACCCUUAUCCUUUGUUGCCAGCGGUUAGGCCGGGAACUCAAAGGAGACUGCCAGUGAUAAACUGGAGGAAGGUGGGGAUGACGUCAAGUCAUCAUGGCCCUUACGACCAGGGCUACACACGUGCUACAAUGGCAUAUACAAAGAGAAGCGACCUCGCGAGAGCAAGCGGACCUCAUAAAGUAUGUCGUAGUCCGGAUUGGAGUCUGCAACUCGACUCCAUGAAGUCGGAAUCGCUAGUAAUCGUAGAUCAGAAUGCUACGGUGAAUACGUUCCCGGGCCUUGUACACACCGCCCGUCACACCAUGGGAGUGGGUUGCAAAAGAAGUAGGUAGCUUAACAUUUGGUAACAAG